UGUCAUGUAUAUGUUGUCACGUGACUGAAUGUACCCGACCUGUAGGACCGCGCCACCCGUGGACUAUCACAUCAGCGACACACGGGUGAGGACGUAUAUACGACUUGACUGUUGACUAUCUGCCAGCUUAUUGUUAAAGGAUAAAAACGCAUGUGCUCGUAAUUCAUCAUACUUUGUCUACUAGUCCCGUAAUACUAUCGGGAGAGGAACCCCUGUCCAAGGGAUAGGGGUUUUUCCUGGGGAAUAAAGUAUUAACCAAACUAAUGCUUUUGGAUUCUCUAUAACCUGUGACAGGCAUGAGCACCCUGUUACA